GGAUGGUCUGAGACCCUGGAAACAGGCAGGGUGUGACCAACAAGGAUGUCAGCUCUGGAUGCCACUCUCCGUUAUCAGAGAGCUCAGAGAGGGUGCCUGCAGGAGGCCGAGCUCCAGAAUUUGUGGGGCAAAGUCCUGGGCCUGAGGAAGUUGUACCGAGAGUUUCCAGGAAGACAACUCUAGGCCCUGAGGGCUUCCUGGUGACUUCCACAAAACAGAUAAGAAGAGAGAACACCAAUUCUAAACAAACUCCUCCAAAAAAGUACAACAGAAGAGCCACUUCCCAGUUCAUUUGACUCAGCAGCAUUUCCCUGACACCAAAGCCAGCAAGACAUUUCCAGGAAAUCUACAGGACUUACUCUCAUGAAUAUAGAUGAAAAUGCCUUACAAAAUAGGAGUAGACUGAAUCAUCAAUGAAUAAGUGGUGUAAUACAUUGAUUUAAUAUUCAAAUUAAAUUCAUGGAAUUCAUCAUGUUAACAGGCUUAUAAUGACAAACCAUAAGAUCAUCUCAAUAGAGACAGAAAAAAAUUUGACAAAAUUAAACAUUCAUUCAAAAAAAAGACCUUUCAGCAAACAAGCAAUAGAAAGAAAUUUCCUCAAUCUAGUGAGGAGCCUUUAGGAAGACCAUGGCUGAUCUCAUGCAUGAUGAUGAAGGAUGAGGAUGAUGAGGGAUGGAGAUGAUGAGGGAUGGAGAUGAUGAGGGAUGGAGGUGAUGAGGGAUGGAGGUGAUGAAGGAUGGAGAUGAUGAGGGAUGGAGAUGAUGAGGGAUGGAGUGCUCUCCUGAGAUGGAGAAUAAGCCCUGGUGCCUGGCCUCCCCCUCCUGCAGAAUGUGAGAGGUCCAGUCUGCACAGUGAAGCAAGGAGAGAAAAAGAGGACGCCAGCCCACACAUCAGACAAUGUGAUUGUCUAUGUAGGAAAUCCCAAGGAAUUUGGGAAAAAUCUCUAAAAGAAAUGGUGAGUUCAGGUUUGCAGGAUAGGCAGUCAAUUCACAGAAAUAAGUU
rnacentral:lncRNA from 1 species